rnacentral:lncRNA from 1 species
UUCUUUUGAUUCUGGCUGAUAUUUGAGCCUCUUGGAUUUGUACUUUGGUGUCUGUCAUUAUUUUGCAAAAUUCUCAGCCAUUAUUUCUUCAAAUAUAUUGUUUUCUCUUCUUCUUUUGGAAUUCAAAUAAUAUGUAUAUUAGACAGUUUGUUAUUUUUUCACAGCUCUUGGUUUCUCUGUCCUGAUUUUUUAACUCAUAUUUCUCUUUUUGUUUUAGAUUGGCUAAUUUCUACUCACCUAUAGUAAAGCUCACUGGGUCUUUCUUUGGCUAUGAUAAGUUUACUAAUGUGCCUAUCAAAAGCAUGCUUAACCUCUCUUACUACAUUUUUGAUUUCUUGUACUUCCAUUAGAUUCUUUCUUAUAAUUUCCAUUGAUCUGCUAAUUUCCAUUAUGCUAAUUUCCAUUGAUUGACCAAAUCACCUCUUUGGUCUUGCAUGUUGCCUAUUUCUCCAUUAGAGCCAUUAACAUAUUAAAUAAUUAUUUAAAUACCCUCUUUCCUAUCUGGUUCUGUUCUUAGUAAUUAUUUUGCCUUUUCAGUUUUUAAAUCCACACUGAUAUACUGCUCAACGCAAAAUCCCAGGAGGUAUGAUGAUGAGAAGAUUAAAAGAUCAUUGAACAAACAUUCACAGAAGGCCUACAAGAGCUCAGGAAGCAAAGAAAACGGACGAAGUGUCAUCACGGAACUUGUAUUCUAUGGGGUAGAGGGAAUAGAUGAUAAACAAGUAAAUAUGCAUCUCAUAUAUUUCAAGAGGAUAAGUGCUACAGAGAGAAACAGAGCAGGGAAAGGGGUAACAGAUUCCCACUGUUCAUAGAUCCAUUGUGUCUCCAAUGGCAAACCGUUCUUACUUUACACAGGUAGUCAAUAAUCUAAUAGGGUCACAUUUGGACAACUGAGUCAGUGAGGAAGUAAGCAACGCUGGAGAUUUGUGGGAGGAACGUUCUAGCAACUAGAAAUGCAAGAGCAAGGGAGCAAGAUCAAGUGUGUGGGGGACAGCAGAAGGGACAGUGGGGCAAGAGCUGUUUCCUUGACUGGGAGGGAGCCCAAACCAUGAAGGAGUUUGUAGUCCAAGCCACGCUCUUAGUAUUAAUCUCAAUGAGAUAGAAAGUCCCUGGAGUGAGCUUGGAAAGGCUUGAUUUGACCCCUAUUUUAAAAGGAUUAUGUUGGCUGUUAGAUAGAAAAUAAUCUGCAGAAGGACAAAUUAAGCAACGAUUACAAUUAUUAUUAUAUUGCAAUAAUAUUAUAUUGUAUUAUUAUUAUUACAAUAAUCAAGUGCGAUGUCAUUGGUGCAUUAGAGUAGUAAAAUGUGGUUGGAAUCUGAGCAUGUUUAAUGCAUUUUUAUGGAGUAAAUAUAUAAUAUGAGGAUAAGAGAAGAAGAAAGGCUGACUGUGAGGUUGAAGGUCAGAGCAACUAGGACAGAGUGAAUGUUUGUUGAGCACAGUGCACUGCAGGUGGAGCUGCUUGUUACAGAGCAGGAGGCACGAGAAGCAGGACUCACGUGGCCUGUUGAUUUUGAAAUGCCUGUUAUACCUGUAUGGACACAUUGAGAUGAUGCAAGGGUAGAUGAGUCUAAAGUUCCCGAAAGUAGUCAACACUAUGCAAAGCACUGAUAGUAUUUAAACUCCUGCAACUAGUUGAGAUCCUCUAGAAAAUUAAAGAAUAGAAGGGAGAAGGUCUCCAGGCUGAGCCACUGGCACACUCACAUAUGGAGGUUGUGGAGAAGAAAAGAACUCACAAACAGGGCUCAGAUACACUGCUCAAGGGCAAAGCCCAGGGGAGUAGAUGGCCAGGGGCUCCAGAAACCUGCUGAGGCAACCCAUUUGUGCUGAGUUGACCCCUGCAGGCACUAUUCAUACCCUAGGGCUGACCUCCAAAAAGUGCCCCCUGUCAACUUUAGUUAGAAAUGCAAAUGGGACCCAUGCAGAGAUUCCAAAGAAAGACAAAACGUAAAACACUACAAAUGCUGAUGGAGGACAUGUAUAUUAAGAACAUUCCAAACAAAUACUUCCCUAUGAUCUUGGACCAAGUGAAGAAAAUUUUAGCUCAAAACUGAAGUCACUCAAAAGAGGAUAAAAGAAACAUAGACAGAGAUGAAAAGAUGAGAGGAGAUAUCAAGCAGGCCAGGAGAUAUUUGGGGGAGGGAAGGAGAAGAAAUAAAAUCAUAAAAAAUGAAAGCCACGGACAGGCGCAGUAGCUCAUGCCUGUAAUCCCAUCACUUUGGGAGGCCGAGGCAAGCAGAUCACGAGGUCAGGAGAUCGAGACCAUCCUGGCUAACACGGUGAAACCCUGUCUCUACUAAAAAAAUACAAAAACAUUAGCCAGGCGUGGUGGUGGGCGCCUGUAGUCCCAGCUACUCGGGAGGCUGAGGCAGGAGAAUGGCGUGAACCUGGGAGGCGGAGCUUGCAGUGAGCCAAGAUGGCGCCAGUGCACUCCAGCCUGGGAGACAGAGUAAGACUCCGUCUCAAAAAAAAAGAAAAAAAAAAUGAAAGCCACAUUACAAGUAGCUGUUACAGAAUCUAACCUGCUG